GACGAACGCUGGCGGCGUGCUUAACACAUGCAAGUCGAACGAUGACGACCGAGCUUGCUCGGUCUGAUUAGUGGCGAACGGGUGAGUAACACGUGAGCAACCUGCCCUUCACUCUGGGAUAACCUCGGGAAAUCGGGGCUAAUACCGGAUAUGAGCUCCUGACGCAUGGCGGGUGUUGGAAAGUUGUUCGGUGGAGGAUGGGCUCGCGGCCUAUCAGUUUGUUGGUGAGGUAGUGGCUCACCAAGGCGAUGACGGGUAGCCGGCCUGAGAGGGCGACCGGCCACACUGGGACUGAGAGACGGCCCAGACUCCUACGGGAGGCAGCAGUGGGGAAUAUUGCACAAUGGGCGAAAGCCUGAUACAGCGACGCCGCGUGAGGGAUGACGGCCUUCGGGUGGUAAACCUCUUUCAGCAGGGAAGAAGCGAAAGUGACGGUACCUGCAGAAGAAGCGCCGGCUAACUACGUG
rnacentral:rRNA from 1 species